AAAAACGGAACCCUUAUGGAUUCGUCAUGUCUGUCUGUCCGUCCGUAUGUCACAGACACUUUUUUCCAUGUAUUCUGUGAACCGCAUUAAGAUUUUCACACAAAAAUAGAUAAAAAACAAUAAAUUUUUGGAGUUCCCCAUACUUAGAACUGAAACUCAAAUGUUUUUGUUUUUCAUCAAACCCUUACGUGUUGGGUAUCUAUUGGAUAGGUCUUUAAAAAUGAUAUUGAGGUUUCUAAUAUCAUUUUUUCCUAAACUGUAUAGUUUGCGCGAGAGUCACUUCCAAAGUGGUAAAAUGUGCCCCCCCCCCCCUGUAACUUCUAAAAUAAGAGAAUAAUAAAAUUAAAAAAUAUAUAUGAUGUACAUUACCAUGCAAACUUCCACCGAAAAUUGGUUUGAACGAGAUCUAGUAAGUAGUUUUUUUUAAUACGUCAUAAA